CUACGGGCGGCUGCAGUGGGGAAUUUUGGACAAUGGGGGCAACCCUGAUCCAGCCAUGCCGCGUGAGUGAAGAAGGCCUUCGGGUUGUAAAGCUCUUUCGCAAGGAAAGAAAACUUACCUUUUAAUAAAGGGUAAGGCUGACGGUACCUUGAUAAGAAGCACCGGCUAACUACGUGCCAGCAGCCGCGGUAAUACGUAGGGUGCGAGCGUUAAUCGGAAUUACUGGGCGUAAAGCGUGCGCAGGCGGUUCGACAAGUCUGAUGUGAAAUCCCCGGGCUUAACCUGGGAACUGCGUUGGAAACUGUCGGGCUAGAGUGUAGAAGAGGGGGGUAGAAUUCCACGUGUAGCAGUGAAAUGCGUAGAGAUGUGGAGGAAUACCGAUGGCGAAGGCAGCCCCCUGGGCUAACACUGACGCUCAUGCACGAAAGCGUGGGGAGCAAACAGGAUUAGAUACCCUUGUAGUC
rnacentral:rRNA from 1 species